rnacentral:ribozyme from 1 species
UUGAACAUCACCCCACUGUCGAUGCUUCCAAUCCUUUUGCUAUCCACCGCUCUCCCUCUUCUUCACACCCACCCGCCAAUCCUCUCUCUCCCAUCGAUUCCUCUGAAAAGAGUGAUGAUAUUACUACCGAUAUUACUAAUGAUACCCUUGCUCCACCAAAGAAAAAACCACGCAUUCAGCAACGGUCAUACACUUCCUACACCGAUUUUUCCUA